UGAGGAAUAUUGGUCAAUGGACGCAAGUCUGAACCAGCCAAGUAGCGUGCAGGAUGACGGCCCUAUGGGUUGUAAACUGCUUUUAUGUGGGGAUAAAGUGCGUGACGUGUCAUGCAUUGCAGGUACCACAUGAAUAAGGACCGGCUAAUUCCGUGCCAGCAGCCGCGGUAAUACGGAAGGUCCGGGCGUUAUCCGGAUUUAUUGGGUUUAAAGGGAGCGUAGGCUGUCUAUUAAGCGUGUUGUGAAAUUUACCGGCUCAACCGGUGGCUUGCAGCGCGAACUGGUCGACUUGAGUAUGCAGGAAGUAGGCGGAAUUCAUGGUGUAGCGGUGAAAUGCUUAGAUAUCAUGACGAACUCCGAUUGCGCAGGCAGCUUACUGUAGCAUAACUGACGCUGAUGCUCGAAAGUGCGGGUAUCAAACAGG
rnacentral:rRNA from 1 species